rnacentral:rRNA from 1 species
AGUGAACGCUGGCGGUAGGCCUAACACAUGCAAGUCGAACGGCAGCACAGUAAGAGCUUGCUCUUACGGGUGGCGAGUGGCGGACGGGUGAGGAAUACAUCGGAAUCUACUUUUUCGUGGGGGAUAACGUAGGGAAACUUACGCUAAUACCGCAUACGACCUACGGGUGAAAGCAGGGGAUCUUCGGACCUUGCGCGAUUGAAUGAGCCGAUGUCGGAUUAGCUAGUUGGCGGGGUAAAGGCCCACCAAGGCGACGAUCCGUAGCUGGUCUGAGAGGAUGAUCAGCCACACUGGAACUGAGACACGGUCCAGACUACUACGGGAGGCAGCAGUGGGGACUAUUGGACAAUGGGCGCAAGCCUGAUCCAGCGAUACCGCGUGGGUGAAGAAGGCCUUCGGGUUGUAAAGCCCUUUUGUUGGGAAAGAAAAGCAGCAGGUUAAUACCCCGCUGUUCUGACGGUACCCAGAGAAUAAGCACCGGCUAACUUCGUG